GACGAACGCUGGCGGCGUGCCUAAUACAUGCAAGUAGAACGCUGAAGGAGGAGCUUGCUCUUCUGGAUGAGUUGCGAACGGGUGAGUAACGCGUAGGUAACCUGCCUGGUAGCGGGGGAUAACUAUUGGAAACGAUAGCUAAUACCGCAUAACAGUAGAUGUUGCAUGACAUUUACUUAAAAGGUGCAAUUGCAUCACUACCAGAUGGACCUGCGUUGUAUUAGCUAGUUGGUGGGGUAACGGCUCACCAAGGCGACGAUACAUAGCCGACCUGAGAGGGGGAUCGGCCACACUGGGACUGAGACACGGCCCAGACUCCUACGGGAGGCAGCAGUAGGGAAUCUUCGGCAAUAGACGGAAGUCUGACCGAGCAACGCCGCGUGAGUGAAGAAGGGUUUCGGAUCGUAAAGCUCGGUUGUAAGAGAAGAACGAGUGUGAGAGUGGAAAGUUCACACUGUGACGGUAUCUUACCAGAAAGGGACGGCUAACUACGUG
rnacentral:rRNA from 1 species